rnacentral:rRNA from 1 species
AGAGUUUGAUCCUGGCUCAGAUUGAACGCUGGCGGCAUGCUUUACACAUGCAAGUCGGACGGCAGCACGGACUUCGGUCUGGUGGCGAGUGGCGAACGGGUGAGUAACAUAUCGGAACGUAUCCAAUAAUGGGGGAUAACUAAUCGAAAGGUUGGCUAAUACCGCAUACGCCCUACGGGGGAAAGCUAGGGACCUUCGGGCCUGGCGUUAAUGGAGCGGCCGAUAUCUGAUUAGCUAGUUGGUGAGGUAAAGGCUCACCAAGGCGACGAUCAGUAGCUGGUCUGAGAGGACGACCAGCCACCCUGGAACUGAGACACGGUCCAGACUCCUACGGGAGGCAGCAGUGGGGAAUUUUGGACAAUGGGCGCAAGCCUGAUCCAGCCAUUCCGCGUGAGUGAAGAAAGCCUUCGGGUUGUAAAGCUCUUUCGCAAGGGAAGAAAACUUAGUUACUAAUAUUAACUGAGGUUGACGGUACCUUGAUAAGAAGCACCGGCUAACUACGUGCCAGCAGCCGCGGUAAUACGUAGGGUGCGAGCGUUAAUCGGAAUUACUGGGCGUAAAGCGUGCGCAGGCUGUUUUGUAAGUCAGAUGUGAAAUCCCCGAGCUCAACUUGGGAACUGCGUUUGAAACUACAAGACUAGAAUAUGUCAGAGGGGGGUAGAAUUCCACGUGUAGCAGUGAAGUGCGUAGAGAUGUGGAGGAAUAUCAAUGGCGAAGGCAGCCCCCUGGGAUAAUAUUGACGCUCAUGCACGAAAGCGUGGGGAGCAAACAGGAUUAGAUACCCUGGUAGUCCACGCCCU